rnacentral:rRNA from 1 species
CGCCCUACGGGGCGCAGCAGUGGGGGAUAUUGCACAAUGGGGGAAACCCUGAUGCAGCGACGCCGCGUGUGGGAAGACGGUCUGCUGGAUUGUAAACUUCUGUCCCCAGGGACGAAAAUGACGGUACCUGGGGAGGAAGCUCCGGCUAACUACGUGCCAGCAGCCGCGGUAAUACGUAGGGAGCAAGCGUUGUCCGGAAUUACUGGGUGUAAAGGGAGCGCAGGCGGGGAGGCAAGUUGGGUGUCAAAACUACCGGCUCAACCGAUAGUCGCACUCAAA